rnacentral:rRNA from 1 species
UACGUAGGGUGCGAGCGUUAAUCGGAAUUACUGGGCGUAAAGCGUGCGCAGGCGGUUCGUUGUGUCGGCGGUGAAAGCCCCGGGCUCAACCUGGGAAUGGCCGUUGAAACUGGCGAACUGGAGUGUGGCAGAGGGGGGUGGAAUUCCGCGUGUAGCAGUGAAAUGCGUAGAGAUGCGGAGGAACACCGAUGGCGAAGGCAGCCCCCUGGGCCUGCACUGACGCUCAUGCACGAAAGCGUGGGGAGCAAACAGG